rnacentral:rRNA from 1 species
UAACACAUGCAAGUCGAACGAAGUAGCAAUACUUAGUGGCAGACGGGUGAGUAACACGUGGGUAUCUACCCUUUGGCCUGGAAUAACACGAGGAAACUUGUGCUAAUACCGGAUAAGUCUUUACGGAGAAAGCUUUAUGCACCAUUGGAUGAGCCCGCACUUGAUUAGUUUGUUGGUAGGGUAAUGGCCUACCAAGACUAUGAUCAAUAGCUGAUUUGAGAGGAUGAUCAGCCACAUUGGGACUGAGACACGGCCCAAACUCCUACGGGAGGCAGCAGUGGGGAAUCUUGCACAAUGGAGGAAACUCUGAUGCAGCGAUGCCGCGUGAGAGAAGAAGGCCUUUGGGUUGUAAAGCUCUUUCGUCGGGGAAGAAAAUGGCUGUACCCGAAUAAGAAGGUCCGGCUAACUUCGUGCCAGCAGCCGCGGUAAUACGAAGGGACCUAGCGUAGUUCGGAAUUACUGGGCUUAAAGAGUUCGUAGGUGGUUGAAAAAGUUGGUGGUGAAAUCCCAGAGCUUAACUCUGGAACUGCCAUCAAAACUUUUCAGCUAGAGUAUGAUAGAGGAAAGCAGAAUUUCUAGUGUAGAGGUGAAAUUCGUAGAUAUUAGAAAGAAUACCAAUUGCGAAGGCAGCUUUCUGGAUCAUUACUGACACUGAGGAACGAAAGCAUGGGUAGCGAAGAGGAUUAGAUACCCUCGUAGUCCAUGCCGUAAACGAUGUGUGUUAGACGUUGGAAAUUUAUUUUCAGUGUCGCAGCGAAAGCGAUAAACACACCGCCUGGGGAGUACGACCGCAAGGUUAAAACUCAAAUGAAUUGACGGGGACCCGCACAAGUAGUGGAGCAUGUGGUUUAAUUCGAAGAUACGCGCAGAACCUUACCAACACUUGACAUGUUCGUCGCGACUCUAAGAGAUUAGAGUUUCGUUCGCCGACGAAACACAGGUGCUGCAUGGCUGUCGUCAGCUCGUGUCGUGAGAUGUUGGGUUAAGUCCCGCAACGAGCGCAACCCUCACUUUUAGUUGCCAUCAUUAAGUUGGGCACUCUGAAAGAACUGCCAGUGAUAAGCUGGAGGAAGGUGGGGAUGACGUCAAGUCCUCAUGGCCCUUACGUGUUGGGCUACACACGUGCUACAAUGGUAUCUACAACAGGAAGCAAGACGGCAACGUUUAGCAAAUCCCGAAAAGAUACCUCAGUUCGGAUUGCACUCUGCAACUCGAGUGCAUGAAGCUGGAAUUACUAGUAAUCGUGGAUCAGCGUGCCACGGUGAAUGCGUUCCCGGGUCUUGUACACACCGCCCGUCACACCAUGGGAGUUAGUUCUACCUUAAGGCAAGGUUUUAAACCCUUGACCACGGUAUAGUCAGCGACUGGGGUG